GUAAUAUUGUAAAAUUGUAAUCAAAUUAUUCUUAACCGCUAUAAAAAAUAACAUUUUUUCUUUUGGGUAUUUUGCUGAUGCUAUAUAAACUGGAUAUUAUUGAAUUCUUGGAUUAUAUUAAACCCAACUGUUUCUCAUUUUUCUAGAGUUCUUAAAAGUACACGUCCAUAAUGUCUGACCAGUGCAUUUUAUGUUUUUCCAAGCUUUGCUAUUCAUGUUAUUAAAAUUAAUAUAUAUUCUAUACAAUUACUAUAUAAGCGCUGGGGAAAUUAAGUUAUGAUUUUGUUAUUUACAAAAUUAUUUCACGUCAAUUUCGAUACAAAAACAAUCCACAAACUCAGUUG